AGCGAACGCUGGCGGCAGGCCUAACACAUGCAAGUCGAACGAACCCUUCGGGGUUAGUGGCGGACGGGUGAGUAACACGUGGGAACGUACCUUUAGGUUCGGAACAACACAGGGAAACUUGUGCUAAUGCCGAAUGUGCCCUUCGGGGGAAAGAUUUAUCGCCUUUAGAGCGGCCCGCGUCUGAUUAGCUUGUUGGUGAGGUAAAGGCUCACCAAGGCUACGAUCAGUAGCUGGUCUGAGAGGAUGAUCAGCCACACUGGGACUGAGACACGGCCCAGACUCCUACGGGAGGCAGCAGUGGGGAAUCUUGCGCAAUGGGCGAAAGCCUGACGCAGCCAUGCCGCGUGAAUGAUGAAGGUCUUAGGAUUGUAAAAUUCUUUCACCGGGGAAGAUAAUGACGGUACCCGGAGAACGAAGCCCCGGCUAAACUCGUG
rnacentral:rRNA from 1 species